UAAAGUCAGCUUCAAUCCAACACACGUUCCCAUUACUCUCAUAUACUCAAAAAGUCCCCCUUCUCUAUCUCCUCUGCACCCCCUUUCCUCUGUGAAGGUUCCACUUGUUGGCGCUCUUUUCAUCAACUUCAGGGCUUACAGCGUGGGGCACUAGGAAAUAUCCAACCAAAGAGACAGGAAUUUCCACAGACCCUCUGCUCCAUCUUACACGCUGAAGAAUGUCAGUCCUGUACAUACCACUCACUGUGUAACAUUCCUGGGAUUCAAUGUCCUCCAAAGCCUGGUUGGAGUGUGGAAGGCUUGGCCAUUGAGAGGUGAUGGAAUCAUGAGGGCUGGACCUUCUGUGCUAUGCAAGCUCAGAUGUCAGGAAAGAUGAAGGUUCACAGGAGGCUGUUGAAG